rnacentral:rRNA from 1 species
UGGGGAAUAUUGGACAAUGGGCGCAAGCCUGAUCCAGCAAUGCCGCGUGUGUGAAGAAGGCUCUAGGGUUGUAAAGCACUUUCAGUGGGGAAGAAAUGCGAGCGGUUAAUACCCGCUCGAAAUGACGUUACCCACAGAAGAAGCACCGGCUAACUCCGUGCCAGCAGCCGCGGUAAUACGGAGGGUGCGAGCGUUAAUCGGAAUUACUGGGCGUAAAGGGCGCGUAGGCGGUUUGAUUAGUCGGGUGUGAAAGCCCCGAGCUCAACUCGGGAAUUGCAUUCGAAACUGUCAGGCUCGAGUGUGGUAGAGGGAUGCGGAAUUCCAGGUGUAGCGGUGAAAUGCGUAGAUAUCUGGAGGAACAUCAGUGGCGAAGGCGGCAUCCUGGACCAACACUGACGCUGAGGCGCGAAAGCGUGGGGAGCAAACAGGAUUAGAUACCCCCGUAGUCC